GAUGAACGCUGGCGGCGUGCCUAAUACAUGCAAGUCGAGCGAACAGAUGAGGAGCUUGCUCCUCUGACGUUAGCGGCGGACGGGUGAGUAACACGUGGAUAACCUACCUAUAAGACUGGGAUAACUACGGGAAACCGGAGCUAAUACCGGAUAAUAUAUUGAACCGCAUGGUUCAAUAGUGAAAGACGGUUUUGCUGUCACCUAUAGAUGGAUCCGCGCCGCAUUAGCUAGUUGGUAAGGUAACGGCUUACCAAGGCAACGAUGCGUAGCCGACCUGAGAGGGUGAUCGGCCACACUGGAACUGAGACACGGUCCAGACUCCUACGGGAGGCAGCAGUAGGGAAUCUUCCGCAAUGGGCGAAAGCCUGACGGAGCAACGCCGCGUGAGUGAUGAAGGUCUUCGGAUCGUAAAACUCUGUUAUUAGGGAAGAACAAAUGUGUAAGUAACUAUGCACGUCUUGACGGUACCUAAUCAGAAAGCCACGGCUAACUACGUG
rnacentral:rRNA from 1 species